GACGGCAUGCAAGAGCACAUCCAUUGAAAAGGUUUCAUAAUGACCCGGGUUUUAACCGAGCGAGGACGGCCAAUGGUUUUGAGAGAGAUUCGGUCCAAUACGAAUCCAGAUUCGAAUACAGCUGGUUACUGAAAGCAAAAUUUAACAUUCAGGUUCCUCCGGCGUCUGGUGAUCAAGGCGUACUCCGGCUAACAUACACCGUUAUGAACAUUCGCCACUAAUCUCGAUCCACCCCGUGAGCAUUUGGAGAAGAUGAAAUAUCCAAACAACUACACAGUGAGCAUUUAGAGAAGAUGAACAUAUUGUGUGUGUUUCCUAAAAUUUUGCUAUGAAAUAUCCAAACAACUACCAAGAAUAUCCUCUAAUAUAUCAAGAUAUCAAUGUCUACGAUAUAACUAACCAUAACAACCGAUUUAAAAUUUUCUACAAUUAAUUUUCUUCCUUGCGAAUAAAGUCACAGUAUAUUCUCCCUAAAUACCCUAACAAACCUAGCGAUCUAUAUAUAUCGAUCGCACUACAUUUAACCUCAACCAUCACCUAAACUAAAUCGGUCCGCGCGAGUUUUUGUUUUCAUUUAUUUUAUA